rnacentral:ncRNA from 2 species
UCCGUUUCGCGUGACUGGCGAGAACAGUGGGACACCACGAGGAAGCGCGAAACCUGCCAUAGCCGCUCGCCUGGGCUGCGUCG